CGUCACGCGGAGCCGUUGGCGAGCAGGUCCGGCAAGCAGACGCGGCGGCAAGUUCAAGAGCGACGCGGCGACCACGCCCGGGCCAGCCAGCGCCAAGGCCGCGUCCGCAAACUGCUAUAAAUGCCCGGCCCACUGCCGUCCAGGCAUCACUGUCUGCCGAAGCAACAGAUCGACGCACCAUGAAGGCUUUCGUCUGCUCUUUCCUCGUAGUCCUGCUGGUGGCGGCCGUGUUCGCCCAGGAGAAGGCCAAGGAGACCCUGAAGGGCGCCGAGGCCUACUACGCCUACGCCGCCCCCUACGCCUACAGCGCCUUCGGCUACCCCGCCAUCAGCGCCUACUCCGCCUACCCCUAUGGUGCCGUCGGCUACCCCUACUACUACCGCUAAGAAGACAUCAGUUCUGACAUGAUGCCUCCUGUACUGAUUCUUCUGUUUGUCUCUUCCCUCUAAAUACAACUGUAUCACAAAACAAAAA